UACGUAGGGGGCGAGCGUUGUCCGGAAUCAUUGGGCGUAAAGCGCGUGUAGGCGGUCCAGAUAGUCUGGUGUGAAAGCCCGGGGCUCAACCCCGGUUGGUCACUGGAUACUGCUGGACUUGAGUCCGGAAGAGGAGAGUGGAAUUCCUGGUGUAGCGGUGGAAUGCGCAGAUAUCAGGAGGAACACCUAUGGCGAAGGCAGCUCCCUGGUACGUGACUGACGCUGAGACGCGAAAGCGUGGGUAGCGAACAGG
rnacentral:rRNA from 1 species